rnacentral:piRNA from 1 species
UGAAUUUAGUGACAUUGAUAC